rnacentral:rRNA from 1 species
GACGAACGCUGGCGGCGUGCCUAAUACAUGCAAGUAGAACGCACAGUUUAUACCGUAGCUUGCUACACCAUAAACUGUGAGUUGCGAACGGGUGAGUAACGCGUAGGUAACCUGCCUGGUAGCGGGGGAUAACUAUUGGAAACGAUAGCUAAUACCGCAUAAUAUUGAUUAUUGCAUGAUAAUUGAUUGAAAGAUGCUAUUGCAUCACUACCAGAUGGACCUGCGUUGUAUUAGCUAGUAGGUGAGGUAACGGCUCACCUAGGCGACGAUACAUAGCCGACCUGAGAGGGUGAUCGGCCACACUGGGACUGAGACACGGCCCAGACUCCUACGGGAGGCAGCAGUAGGGAAUCUUCGGCAAUGGACGAAAGUCUGACCGAGCAACGCCGCGUGAGUGAAGAAGGUUUUCGGAUCGUAAAGCUCUGUUGUAAGAGAAGGACGGGUGUGAGAGUGGAAAGUUCACACUGUGACGGUAUCUUACCAGAAAGGGACGGCUAACUACGUG